CCCCCCCCCCCCCCCCCCCCCCCCCCCCCCCCCCCCCCCCCCCCCCCCCCCCCCCCCCCCCCCCCCCCCCCCCCCCCCCCCCCCCCUCCGGCCGCCUUCCCGCGGGGCGGGGGGCCGCGGGGCUGUGGCCGUGCGCCCCGGCGUCGCAGAGCUCUGCUGCUGAGAGAUUUCGGCCACCUAACGGGUCUGUCGUCUCAAAUCAGAGGUGUGCCACCGCAAGUGUACAGCCGCUGAGGCGAGGCAGCAGCUCACAAAAGCACUCGGUUCUGCCCGACUUGGCUGAGGAAUCGGUGCCUUGUGAGGGGAGGCUGCUACUAAUGACGCUGUCCUGACCUGGGGUGUACUUUUAGUAAUUUCACGUUUGCCCUCACGUUCCCUCCGGUCCUGAUCAGCCCUCUACGAGAUCCUAGGGGACAUUGCCCGGGCACCAGGGAACUCCAGGUAGCUGUCUCCACAGCAAGGCAAAGCACCUAGAGACACACCUCUGCGGAUGGUUUUGGUUUUAUCCUCUUCACAUUCCUAACUAUGUGAAAAGCUAAGGGCACCCUGCUGAGAGGGAGGGGGAGAGAAUGAAUGUAGGGGAGCAGGAAAAGAAAAACCUCUACUUCUGUAGGGGCAUUCCUGUUCUUCAGAAAUCACUCCAGAGAUCUUGCUUGCAAUGGAGUUCUCUUAAUGGGAAUAAAUGUCUCCACCCUACAGGAAGGAUGUGCUUGGAAGGAUCGUUGUGCAUUGAGACUGUAGUGAUCCAUGCGAUAGUUAACCCAAGUGCAGCCACAUCCAGGAUGCCCUUCAGGAAUAGUGUUCAUCUUGUCUAAGUGUCACUCCAAACUGAAGGUGGAGAGUCAUCAUCAGAGGGACAGUGAAGGAGGAGGGAUUCCAGCAACAUGUGUGGAGAUUAAAUCAACUGUAGGAAAAACAUAACUGAAGAAAGCAACCGUUCAAGUAACAGUGGGAAUUUCUAGUAUAAAUAAAAUAAAACUAGAUGGGACUGGCAAAUCUUUUAUAAAAGUUUUGUACCUGUUGAAGUGUCUGGCCUGCAAUACUCACUUCC
rnacentral:lncRNA from 12 species